CCGAGUCUACAACUCCCAAACCCCUGUGAACAUACCAAUUGUUGCCUCGGCGGAUCAGCCCGCUCCCGGUAAAACGGGACGGCCCGCCAGAGGACCCCUAAACUCUGUUUUUAGUGGAACUUCUGAGUAAAACAAACAAAUAAAUCA
rnacentral:misc_RNA from 1 species